CUACGGGGCGCAGCAGUGAGGAAUAUUGCACAAUGGGGGGAACCCUGAUGCAGCAACGCCGCGUGGAGGAUGACGCAUUUCGGUGUGUAAACUCCUUUUAUAUGUCAAGAAAAUGACGGUAGCAUAUGAAUAAGCACCGGCUAACUCCGUGCCAGCAGCCGCGGUAAUACGGAGGGUGCAAGCGUUACUCGGAAUCACUGGGCGUAAAGGACGCGUAGGCGGGUUGGAAAGUCAGGUGUGAAAUCCUACAGCUUAACUGUAGAACUGCACUUGAAACUUCUAAUCUAUAGUACGGGAGGGGGAGAUGGAAUUAGUGGUGUAGGGGUAAAAUCCGUAGAUAUCACUAGGAAUACCUAAAGCGAAGGCGAUCUCCUGGAACAUUACUGACGCUAAGGCGUGAAAGCGUGGGGAGCAAACAGGAUUAGAUACCCGGGUAGUC
rnacentral:rRNA from 1 species